rnacentral:rRNA from 1 species
UACGGAGGGUGCGAGCGUUGUCCGGAAUCACUGGGCGUAAAGGGCGCGUAGGCGGCUUGGUAAGGGGGCGGUGAAAGCCCGGGGCUCAACCCCGGGUCUGCCGGACCGACUGCCGAGCUUGAGCACACUAGGGGCAGGUGGAAUUCCGGGUGUAGCGGUGGAAUGCGUAGAGAUCCGGAAGGAACGCCCGUGGCGAAAGCGAGGCCCUGGACCCUUACUGACGCUGAGACGCGAAAGCCAGGGGAGCGAACGGG